GGAGGAGGCGGGGAGGCGGUGCAGCGCUGGUCGCGGUUUAUGGGGAGGGGGCGGCUCAGGGCGGCCCGCGCGGCUCCCAGCCGCUGACGAGCAGAACGGGUUCGAAGACCUACAGAGGGGCUCAAAGGCCAUGCGGAUGGACCUGAGGCUAACAGAGUGGGCAGCAAAGCAGCAGGGAGCCCGGUGGGGCCAGCUCAGGGCUGGGUGGGAGCAUCCCAGCGGGGAGGGCUGCAGGAUGAGGGCUGUGCAGACCUACAGGGACCUGAGCAGGCACGGAGGACAAGGAAGAGCCUUACCCAAGCUGACAAUCUCCCAGAGCAGGACACCAAAGGACCACCUGAAACAGCAGGAGGUGAGGCUGGGACAGAGCCGGUGGCAGCGUCCCACUUGCGGGUAGGGGGACAUGCAGACAGGGUUCGUGGUGGGACUGGAUGGGGCCAGGAGGGCAACCAGGGCUUGGGCAGAUCCCACAGCUCCCCAGGGAUGUACCCACUGCCCUGGAGGGACAGAGGUGGCCACGUCUGUGCCCCAACGCUGGUGCC